GAUAAAGAACGCAGCGAAAUGCGAUAAGUAGUGUGAAUUGCAGAAUUCAGUGAAUCAUCGAAUCUUUGAACGCACAUUGCGCCCCUUGGUAUUCCAUGGGGCAUGCCUGUUCGAGCGUCAUUUGUACCUUCAAGCUCUGCUUGGUGUUGGGUGUUUGUCUCGCCUCUGCGUGUAGACUCGCCUCAAAACAAUUGGCAGCCGGCGUAUUGAUUUCGGAGCGCAGUACAUCUCGCGCUUUGCACUCAUAACGACGACGUCCAAAAGUACAUUUUUACACUCUUGACCUCGGAUCAGGUAGGGAUACCCGCUGAACUUAAGCAUAUCAAUAAGCGGAGGA
rnacentral:misc_RNA from 1 species